rnacentral:lncRNA from 1 species
CGUUAAUGAUAUAGAUAUCAAAAUGGAUGAAAGGGCAGUGGUCAUUGUAAGUAUUAGCUUUAUUUUAAGUAAGUUCAACAGAAUAAAAAGCUACUUAUCACGUUAAAAUAUUCCCUUAGGUCUAAAGUUUGUUUGGAUGAACUUCAAAACCAUUAAUUUCAGAAAAUUUGUGAGGUGAGUGGGUAAAAGGGCACCAAAAACGCCAAAAGAAGGAAAAUUACGAUUGUUUCAUAAAAUUUAAUAGGGUGCACCUUACGUGACCCAGAAAAAAUUACAGUGAUUUAGACAGCAAAAACAGUGCUAAUGACAUUGGAAUAAAAAAAAAAGUCCUGGGUCACGUUGGCGCAGUCACUUAAAAACUAAAAUUCGUUGUACUAAACACCUGAAAAGUGAAUAAUAAUUACAAUAUUUGAAUAAUAACAGAAAGUUUACCGGC